AUUGAACGCUGGCGGCAUGCCUUACACAUGCAAGUCGAACGGCAUCGCGGGAAAGCUUGCUUUCCUGGCGGCGAGUGGCGAACGGGUGAGUAACACAUCGGAACGUACCGGCUAGUGGGGGAUAACCCGUCGAAAGACGGGCUAAUACCGCAUACGCUCUUCGGAGGAAAGCAGGGGACCUUUGGGCCUUGCGCUAGCCGAGCGGCCGAUGUCCGAUUAGCCAGUUGGUGGGGUAAAGGCCUACCAAGGCGACGAUCGGUAGCGGGUCUGAGAGGACGAUCCGCCACACUGGGACUGAGACACGGCCCAGACUCCUACGGGAGGCAGCAGUGGGGAAUCUUGGACAAUGGGGGCAACCCUGAUCCAGCAAUGCCGCGUGGGUGAAGAAGGCCUUCGGGUUGUAAAGCCCUUUCGGCAGGGAAGAAAUCGGCGGGGCGAAUAACCCUGCUGGAUGACGGUACCUGCAGAAGAAGCACCGGCUAACUACGUG
rnacentral:rRNA from 1 species